rnacentral:misc_RNA from 1 species
AACAUCGCGCACCUGCGGGAACCUGCGGAAGGAUCAUUACCGAGUUUACAACUCCCAAACCCAUGUGAACAUACCUAUCGUUGCUUCGGCGGGAUCGCCCCGGGCGCCUCGUGUGCCCCGGAUCCGGCGCCCGCCUAGGAACCUUAACUCUUGUUUUAUUUUGGAAUCUUCUGAGUAGUUUUUACAAAUAAAUAAAAACUUUCAGCAACGGAUCU